UAUCUGUCCCGAGAUAGGUGUCUCGGCUGAUGAGUCCGGGCCUAAACCGCCAAACGGUCGGCCAAACCUAAGGCACAAAGGUGCCUGGUAAAGGACGAAACAGAAA
rnacentral:hammerhead_ribozyme from 1 species